rnacentral:tRNA from 1 species
CGGCGCGUGCCGGAGCCAGGUCAAACGGGCGAGGUCCAAACCCUCGUGUGGGAAGCCACUUCACAGGUUCAAAUCCUGUCGCGCCGA